rnacentral:rRNA from 1 species
GAUGAACGCUGGCGGCGUGCCUAAUACAUGCAAGUCGAGCGAAUGGAUUAAGAGCUUGCUCUUAUGAAGUUAGCGGCGGACGGGUGAGUAACACGUGGGUAACCUGCUCAUAAGACUGGGAUAACUCCGGGAAACCGGGGCUAAUACCGGAUAACAUUUUGAACCGCAUGGUUCGAAAUUGAAAGGCGGCUUCGGCUGUCACUUAUGGAUGGACCCGGGUCGCAUUAGCUAGUUGGUGAGGUAACGGCUCACCAAGGCAACGAUGCGUAGCCGACCUGAGAGGGUGAUCGGCCAAACUGGGACUGAGACACGGCCCAGACUCCUACGGGAGGCAGCAGUAGGGAAUCUUCCGCAAUGGACGAAAGUCUGACGGAGCAACGCCGCGUGAGUGAUGAAGGCUUUCGGGUCGUAAAACUCUGUUGUUAGGGAAGAACAAGUGCUAGUUGAAUAAGCUGGCACCUUGACGGUACCUAACCAGAAAGCCACGGCUAACUACGUGCCAGCAGCCGCGGUAA